rnacentral:lncRNA from 1 species
AAUAACUAACGCAUACAAUACCCUGAAAAAGGGUCUUCGCCCCUGCGCACAAAAGACCACCUUUAUUUUCCUGCCUCUUUCUUUCCUGUAUUUACCGCUUUUCAUAGGAGUAACUCUCGUAACUUAGCAUACUUGGAGUCUGUCUGCCCUACGGGCAUCACUCCCCUGUUCUUUUACUUGCAGUCUAUCUGCCCUACGGGCAUCACUCCCCUGUUCUUGUACGUCUAUUCAAUAGAAAGUCAUUUUCGGUUCUUCUCGCCGAUCAGAUCUCGAGUUGUUUAGCUAUUCGGCUCAUUUUCCAGUCGAAUUCUGGGCUUCCCCUCUUUAUUCGGUUCAUCCCGCC